UAAGACGAACCGUCCAAACGUUAUUCGGAAUUACUGGGCUUAAAGGGUGCGUAGGCGGCGCGGUAAGUUGGGUGUGAAAUCCCUCGGCUCAACCGAGGAAUUGCGCUCGAUACUGCCGUGCUCGAGGGAGACAGAGGUGAGCGGAACUUAGGGUGGAGCGGUGAAAUGCGUUGAUAUCCUAAGGAACACCAGUGGCGAAAGCGGCUCACUGGGUCUCUUCUGACGCUGAGGCACGAAAGCUAGGGGAGCGAACGGGAUUAGAUACCCCGGUAGUCCUAGCUGUAAACGAUGAGCACUGGGUUGGAGGGUCCUCCAUAGCCUUCCAGCCGCAGCGAAAGUGUUAAGUGCUCCGCCUGGGGAGUAUGGUCGCAAGGCUG
rnacentral:rRNA from 1 species